UACACUCCUACGGGAGGCAGCAGUGGGGAAUUUUGGACAAUGGGCGAAAGCCUGAUCCAGCAAUGCCGCGUGUGUGAAGAAGGCCUUCGGGUUGUAAAGCACUUUUGUCCGGAAAGAAAUCCUUGGCUCUAAUACAGUCGGGGGAUGACGGUACCGGAAGAAUAAGCACCGGCUAACUACGUGCCAGCAGCCGCGGUAAUACGUAGGGUGCGAGCGUUAAUCGGAAUUACUGGGCGUAAAGCGUGCGCAGGCGGUUUGCUAAGACCGAUGUGAAAUCCCCGGGCUCAACCAGGGAACUGCAUUGGUGACUGGCAGGCUAGAGUAUGGCAGAGGGGGGUAGAAUUCCACGUGUAGCAGUGAAAUGCGUAGAGAUGUGGAGGAAUACCGAUGGCGAAGGCAGCCCCCUGGGCCAAUACUGACGCUCAUGCACGAAAGCGUGGGGAGCAAACAGGAUUAGAAACCCCUGUAGUCC
rnacentral:rRNA from 1 species